rnacentral:rRNA from 1 species
AUUGAACGCUGGCGGCAGGCCUAACACAUGCAAGUCGAACGAGUGGCGGACGGGUGAGUAAUGUCUGGGAAACUGCCCGAUGGAGGGGGAUAACUACUGGAAACGGUAGCUAAUACCGCAUACCAUCGGAUGUGCCCAGAUGGGCUUAGCUAGUAGGUGGGGUAACGGCUCACCUAGGCGACGAUCCCUAGCUGGUCUGAGAGGAUGACCAGCCACACUGGAACUGAGACACGGUCCAGACUCCUACGGGAGGCAGCAGUGGGGAAUAUUCCGCAAUGGGCGAAAGCCUGAGUCAGCCAUGCCGCGGGUAUGAAGAAGGCCUUCGGUUUGUAAAGUACUUUCAGCGAGGAAGCGUUACUCACAGAAGAAGCACCGGCUAACUCCGUGCCAGCAGCCGCGGUAAUUC